rnacentral:lncRNA from 1 species
ACAGGGGGGCUACCGGCUAAGACGAAGCCGAUUCAGAUUGGAGCAAAUCGAACAUCGAUUUGAUUCUGUCGUACCGCGUAAGCAGCCAAGAUGGCGAUCCCCGAUUCGUGACGUCACAUGAAGUUCGGCAAGCCGAUUGAACGAAUGAUUUCAGUACUUUUGACACUAAAUCGCUACCGCGUAAAAAAUCGAAGUUCGGCGCCUGAAGCCGAUUCCCAUUGGAAGUGUCAGUUGAAGCCGGGCACUUUUCAGUAACCGUGAUCAAUUUUAAUUUCUUAUUUUCACUGUUUUUCAACAAUAUUAGGAGCUAUUUACGGUGGGCGACAAAUUUUAGGAACAUCUUAAUCAAUAUAAAAUUGAUAUCGGCGUGGAUUUUCGUGUUUAAAUACCUAAAUACAGUGUCAUGGAGAUAGUCGUUUUAUGGGCUGCUGCGGAAGAAAAUGUCUUCAGAAUCUUGAGCAAAUCGAUUGCAGGAUACUUCGAGAGAAAAGCCAGUAUAUACUUCUCACAGAGAGUAGCUACAUUAAUAAUUUUAGAUUAUCAAAAGAUGCAUUUCGGACUUUGUAUCAUGACUUAGGACCAUAUCUGGAGGUCCAAUGCUCUACAACUGUGCAAUCGACUUUAAGUGACAAAUGCCCUCAAUCAGCCUGCAAUCGUGAGAUAAUAUAUCAAGUUUCCUCGGACAAAAACUGAGCAUGUAGAAGUCUCCAGAGGUUUUAAUGACAAAUUUGGAUUUCUUGGAGUACUUGGAUGCAUCCACGGCACACACAUUGCCAUUAUCCAACCUCACAAGUGGGAAGAGGCCUUCUUCAAUAGCAAGUAUUACCAUUCAUUGCAUGUUAUGUUGGUUUGUGAUGGAGAUAUGUGCAUUACAUUUGUGAUGCAUCCAAUGGGAGUGUUAGUGCUAGACUGCUAGCCAAGAUAACCAUAUUUGGAACAACAGCACUUUGAGAAGGGAAAAGGAACAUCUCCUUAAUUUAAAUAUGUUUAAGUUCAUUAAGUGGACUUGUGUGGUCCUUGAAAUGUAAAUUACAAAGUCAGUGUGGUGUAAUCAAAAGUGGCAGAUUUGUUAUUCAAUAAUACAACAUCUAAACAAACCUUUCUUUAUUGGCAUCAAAUAAACUAUUUUCAUUACGCAGAUUUA